rnacentral:lncRNA from 1 species
CCCACCCCAAAUUCACAUGUUGAAGCCCUAACCUCCAAUGUGAUGGUAUUUGGAGAUGGGGCCUUUGGAAGGUAAUUAAGGCUAGAUAGGGUCACAAGGUUGGUCCCCUUAUGAUGGCAUUUGUGUUCUUAUACAAAGAGACAGGAGACUCUCUCCAUCAUGUGAAGAUACAGCAAAACAGCAGCUGUCUGCAAGCCAGGAAGGGAACCCUCACCAGGAACCAAACCAUGAUCUCGGACGUCCCAGCCUCUAGGAACGCCUUUCCAUCUUCCUAGAGUGCCUAACCUGGCCUGUGUGCUUGUAAGCUUCUGCUCAUUCUUCAAUACCCAGCAGAGACUUCCUCCUCCAUGCAGCCUUCCAAGACCCACCUGAGUACAGGUCACUUGCUCUGGGGAAAGCCACCUGCCAUGCCGUGAGGACAUUCAAACUGCCUAUGGAGAGGUCCACAUAGUGAAAAACUAAGGCCCCUGCCAAAACCCAUGUGAGCCAUCUUGGAAACAGAUCCUUCAGCCCUAGGCAAGCCCUUAGAUAAUGUAGUGCCAGCCAACAUCUUGACAGCAGCCUGCAAGAGACUCUGAGUUAGAAACAACCAGCGAAGCCAUUCCUGAAUUCCUAAUCCUCAGAAUCAGCAUGAUAAUAGUAAAUGCUUAUUAUCAGAUACCAUCAGCAUAAUGUCAUCAAUGCAGUGGACCAGUGUGACAUGGGGAACAUAAAGAUGGUCACGAUUUUUGCAGACUCCAUAUGCAAAGUAUUAUAGGCCUUUCCAUCUAUCCGGAGUGACCUACCAGAGACAGGACAGUUUGACCAGCAAGCUUCUGAUCACUCUUCAACACCCAGCAAGAAGUCUUAUCCUCCAUGCAGCCUUCUAAGACCUCUCUAAGCACAGGUAUCAGAUCCUCCUCUGGAUCACUCUGUCUUGUUACUGCAUUUAUCUCACUGGAUUUCAGUGACGUGUGUAGACAACUAAUUUGUGCCUGCCUGAUCUGUGAGCUCUUCAUUCAAAGCAGUUGGCUCCUGAGUACAGGAUAAACCCCUAGAAUUGAAUAAAUUUGGUCUUACCUCA